GGUUAAGCGACUAAGCGUACACGGUGGAUGCCCUGGCAGUCAGAGGCGAUGAAGGACGUGCUAAUCUGCGAAAAGCGUCGGUAAGGUGAUAUGAACCGUUAUAACCGGCGAUGUCCGAAUGGGGAAACCCAGUGUGUUUCGACACACUAUCAUUAACUGAAUCCAUAGGUUAAUGAGGCGAACCGGGGGAACUGAAACAUCUAAGUACCCCGAGGAAAAGAAAUCAACCGAGAUUCCCCCAGUAGCGGCGAGCGAACGGGGAGGAGCCCAGAGCCUGAAUCAGUGUGUGUGUUAGUGGAAGCGUCUGGAAAGGCGUGCGAUACAGGGUGACAGCCCCGUACACAAAAAUGCACAUGCUGUGAGCUCGAUGAGUAGGGCGGGACACGUGGUAUCCUGUCUGAAUAUGGGGGGACCAUCCUCCAAGGCUAAAUACUCCUGACUGACCGAUAGUGAACCAGUACCGUGAGGGAAAGGCGAAAAGAACCCCGGCGAGGGGAGUGAAAAAGAACCUGAAACCGUGUACGUACAAGCAGUGGGAGCCUCUUUAUGGGGUGACUGCGUACCUUUUGUAUAAUGGGUCAGCGACUUAUAUUCUGUAGCAAGGUUAACCGAAUAGGGGAGCCGGAGGGAAACCGAGUCUUAACUGGGCGUUAAGUUGCAGGGUAUAGACCCGAAACCCGGUGAUCUAGCCAUGGGCAGGUUGAAGGUUGGGUAACACUAACUGGAGGACCGAACCGACUAAUGUUGAAAAAUUAGCGGAUGACUUGUGGCUGGGGGUGAAAGGCCAAUCAAACCGGGAGAUAGCUGGUUCUCCCCGAAAGCUAUUUAGGUAGCGCCUCGUGAAUUCAUCUCCGGGGGUAGAGCACUGUUUCGGCAAGGGGGUCAUCCCGACUUACCAACCCGAUGCAAACUGCGAAUACCGGAGAAUGUUAUCACGGGAGACACACGGCGGGUGCUAACGUCCGUCGUGAAGAGGGAAACAACCCAGACCGCCAGCUAAGGUCCCAAAGUCAUGGUUAAGUGGGAAACGAUGUGGGAAGGCCCAGACAGCCAGGAUGUUGGCUUAGAAGCAGCCAUCAUUUAAAGAAAGCGUAAUAGCUCACUGGUCGAGUCGGCCUGCGCGGAAGAUGUAACGGGGCUAAACCAUGCACCGAAGCUGCGGCAGCGACGCUGAUGCGUUGUUGGGUAGGGGAGCGUUCUGUAAGCCUGUGAAGGUGUGCUGUGAGGCAUGCUGGAGGUAUCAGAAGUGCGAAUGCUGACAUAAGUAACGAUAAAGCGGGUGAAAAGCCCGCUCGCCGGAAGACCAAGGGUUCCUGUCCAACGUUAAUCGGGGCAGGGUGAGUCGACCCCUAAGGCGAGGCCGAAAGGCGUAGUCGAUGGGAAACAGGUUAAUAUUCCUGUACUUGGUGUUACUGCGAAGGGGGGACGGAGAAGGCUAUGUUGGCCGGGCGACGGUUGUCCCGGUUUAAGCGUGUAGGCUGGUUUUCCAGGCAAAUCCGGAGAAUCAAGGCUGAGGCGUGAUGACGAGGCACUACGGUGCUGAAGCAACAAAUGCCCUGCUUCCAGGAAAAGCCUCUAAGCAUCAGGUAACAUCAAAUCGUACCCCAAACCGACACAGGUGGUCAGGUAGAGAAUACCAAGGCGCUUGAGAGAACUCGGGUGAAGGAACUAGGCAAAAUGGUGCCGUAACUUCGGGAGAAGGCACGCUGAUAUGUAGGUGAAGCGACUUGCUCGUGGAGCUGAAAUCAGUCGAAGAUACCAGCUGGCUGCAACUGUUUAUUAAAAACACAGCACUGUGCAAACACGAAAGUGGACGUAUACGGUGUGACGCCUGCCCGGUGCCGGAAGGUUAAUUGAUGGGGUCAGCGCAAGCGAAGCUCUUGAUCGAAGCCCCGGUAAACGGCGGCCGUAACUAUAACGGUCCUAAGGUAGCGAAAUUCCUUGUCGGGUAAGUUCCGACCUGCACGAAUGGCGUAAUGAUGGCCAGGCUGUCUCCACCCGAGACUCAGUGAAAUUGAACUCGCUGUGAAGAUGCAGUGUACCCGCGGCAAGACGGAAAGACCCCGUGAACCUUUACUAUAGCUUGACACUGAACACUGGUCCUUGAUGUGUAGGAUAGGUGGGAGGCUUUGAAGUGUGGACGCCAGUCUGCAUGGAGCCGUCCUUGAAAUACCACCCUUUAAUGGCUGGUGUUCUAACGUAGGCCCCUUAUCGGGGUUGCGGACAGUGUCUGGUGGGUAGUUUGACUGGGGCGGUCUCCUCCUAAAGAGUAACGGAGGAGCACGAAGGUUGGCUAAUCCUGGUCGGACAUCAGGAGGUUAGUGCAAUGGCAUAAGCCAGCUUGACUGCGAGCGUGACGGCGCGAGCAGGUGCGAAAGCAGGUCAUAGUGAUCCGGUGGUUCUGAAUGGAAGGGCCAUCGCUCAACGGAUAAAAGGUACUCCGGGGAUAACAGGCUGAUACGCCGCCCAAGAGUUCAUAUCGACGGCGGUGUUUGGCACCUCGAUGUCGGCUCAUCACAUCCUGGGGCUGAAGUAGGUCCCAAGGGUAUGGCUGUUCGCCAUUUAAAGUGGUACGCGAGCUGGGUUUAGAACGUCGUGAGACAGUUCGGUCCCUAUCUGCCGUGGGCGCUGGAGAACUGAGGGGGGCUGCUCCUAGUACGAGAGGACCGGAGUGGACGCAUCACUGGUGUUCGGGUUGUCAUGCCAAUGGCACUGCCCGGUAGCUAAAUGCGGAAGAGAUAAGUGCUGAAAGCAUCUAAGCACGAAACUUGCCCCGAGAUGAGUUCUCCCUGACCCUUUAAGGGUCCUGAAGGAACGUUGAAGACGACGACGUUGAUAGGCCGGGUGUGUAAGCGCAGCGAUGCGUUGAGCUAACCGGUACUAAUGAACCGUGAGGCUUAACCUU
rnacentral:rRNA from 1 species